AAUAUUGGUCAAUGGAGGCAACUCUGAACCAGCCACGUCGCGUGAAGGAUGACGGCCCUACGGGUUGUAAACUACUUUUAUACAGGAAUAAAGUGAGUCACGUGUGACUUUUUGCAUUUACUGUAUGAAUAAGGAUCGGCUAACCCCGGUCCAGCAGCCGCGUUAAUACGGAGGAUCCCAGCGUUAUCCGUAUUUAUUGGGUUUACAGGGGGCGCAGGCGGAAGAUUAAGUCGGCGGUGAAAUUUUGCAGCUCAACUGUACAAGUGCCAUCGAUACUGGUUUUCUUGAGUGUGGAUGAAGUAGGCGGAAUUUGUGGUGUAGCGGUGAAAUGCAUAGAUAUCACGAGGAACUCCGAUUGCGCAUGCAGCUUACUAGGCCAUAACUGACGCUCAGGCACGAAGGCGUGGGGAUCAAAC
rnacentral:rRNA from 1 species